rnacentral:rRNA from 1 species
CGGCAGGCCUAAUACAUGCAAGUCGAGCGCAUCCUUCGGGAUGAGCGGCGGACGGGUGAGUAACGCGUGGGAAUAUGCCCUUCUCUAAGGAAUAGCCUCGGGAAACUGAGAGUAAUACCUUAUACGCCCUUCGGGGGAAAGAUUUAUCGGAGAAGGAUUAGCCCGCGUUAGAUUAGGUAGUUGGUGGGGUAAUGGCCUACCAAGCCUACGAUCUAUAGCUGGUUUGAGAGGAUGAUCAGCCACACUGGGACUGAGACACGGCCCAGACUCCUACGGGAGGCAGCAGUAGGGAAUCUUAGACAAUGGGGGAAACCCUGAUCUAGCCAUGCCGCGUGUGUGAUGAAGGCCUUAGGGUCGUAAAGCACUUUCGCCAGAGAUGAUAAUGACAGUAUCUGGUAAAGAAACCCCGGCUAACUCCGUGCCAGCAGCCGCGGUAAUACGGAGGGGGUUAGCGUUGUUCGGAAUUACUGGGCGUAAAGCGCACGUAGGCGGAUUAGUAAGUUAGAGGUGAAAUCCCAGGGCUCAACCCUGGAACUGCCUUUAAUACUGCUAGUCUUGAGUUCGAGAGAGGUAAGUGGAAUUCCAAGUGUAGAGGUGAAAUUCGUAGAUAUUUGGAGGAACACCAGUGGCGAAGGCGGCUUACUGGCUCGAUACUGACGCUGAGGUGCGAAAGUGUGGGGAGCAA